rnacentral:rRNA from 1 species
GACGAACGCUGGCGGCGUGCUUAACACAUGCAAGUCGAACGGAAAGGCCCUGCUUUUGUGGGGUGCUCGAGUGGCGAACGGGUGAGUAACACGUGAGUAACCUGCCCUUGACUUUGGGAUAACUUCAGGAAACUGGGGCUAAUACCGGAUAGGAGCUCCUGCUGCAUGGUGGGGGUUGGAAAGUUUCGGCGGUUGGGGAUGGACUCGCGGCUUAUCAGCUUGUUGGUGGGGUAGUGGCUUACCAAGGCUUUGACGGGUAGCCGGCCUGAGAGGGUGACCGGCCACAUUGGGACUGAGGUACGGCCCAGACUCCUACGGGAGGCAGCAGUGGGAAAUAUUGCACAAUGGGCGGAAGCCUGAUGCAGCAACGCCGCGUGCGUGAUGACGGCCUUCGGGUUGUAAACCGCUUUCGCCUGUGACGAAGCGUGAGUGACGGUAAUGGGUAAAGAAGCACCGGCUAACUACGUG